GUAAAUGUCGCCAGGGCGUCGAACACCUGCACCUGAUCACGAGGGGCGCGGCUUCCGCUCAAAGCGCAGGCGUGUAUAGAGAGUACGGACAUACCCGUUUUCAAGCCAUUUCCUCAAUGAUUGGUCAAAAGGCACUCACGUGACUAAAAGGCGCCAUUUUUCACAACAGUUUGAAGCCGCGGUGCUUCGCUACACUGCCCUACUUUGUUAUACAUUUAUUUCAAUUGAAGAGUGUUUGCCAAGUACACAUGCCCUGUUGUGCGGUAGAGCAAUUGUAUACAUUUCCCGCAUCCCAGGAAGGAGAAAAAUAUGGGAAGUGAAAGCUGGCGAAGAAUGCGGCGGAGCAAAUAACAACAGUUUCUUGUGUGAGGGGAAUGCUGCAUCUCUGACAGAGUGGCCAUCAGGUUCUUGGUCACCUCCCUGACUAGACCAAGAUGAAUGCAGCAAUGUACAGAGACAUCCUGGAUGAAAACAAACAAUUCCCAUUCAACCUGAUGGAGCUUGAGAGGUGCUGCAAAGAGAAAUUUGCAAAGAGGAAUGGGUUAAACUGCCCAUUCAUAGCCCUUUAGGACCUGAAGCUGGCGAGGACGACACGAAAAGACACGUGGUCCCCCCACAACCCACCCCUUUUCUUUGGUAGGAUUAGGACCGUGGUUCUCAAAUGGGGGUACGCCUACCCCUGGGGAUACU